UUUAUUUCUUUUCAGCCUUGUAGUUGGGCCUAAGGCCGGCCAAACAUGUAAGCCCUUAGGUCUGCCCUAAAACCUAGGGUACCCUACACUUUCAGAAAAGUUGCCCUUGCCUUGAGCUGCAGCCGCCACACAUCUUCUGCUAGGGUUCCAUUGCUGGGAAGUUCCGUUACUCCAUUCCUUUAGCGCAUUCUCGGAGCUGCCGUGCUCGUGGUCACGUAGUAGAGGUCUUCGCUAGGUUUUCCAGAUGGGCGAGGCUCUCGUGGUCAACCAGGGAAUGACGACUCCGCUACUUAGCCAUCUGGGCUAGAUCUCACGCUUCUUACCUUCAUGUUUUCUUUAGGGCUAUGGCCCCUGUACUCGUUGUCUUUGGAUUGUAAACUCUUAGUUAAAUUUGUUAUCCUGCUUUUGUUGGCAUCGUGGUGUGCCUGGUUUUGUAGGGGUGAUGUCAUGAACCCCAGGACUGCAUUGUUGAUUAUCUCUGUGUGACGUUUCCUUUAAUUUUAUGUAUUAAAUUAAAUGGGGCGUUACAUUUAUGGUAUCAGAGCGAUCAUUCCUUAGGUCUGUGGACUUGGGUUGUCCGCUUAGCUUUCUCUGUGUGUCCCUGAGUGUUUAGUUAAAAUUCUUGCCUUUAUCGAGCCUAACCAAGUGAUUUUCUAUGUGCCAGUGGACUAUGGCACCUCCUCGUAGGACUUCGCAAUCAUCCCAGGGAGACGUACCUGAUAUUGCUAGAGCUAUAGAGGCGAUGGUAGCAGCUAUGACGCAGCAGAGUGCUGCGAUGAUGCAG